GAAAUGCGAUAAGUAAUGUGAAUUGCAGAAUUCAGUGAAUCAUCGAAUCUUUGAACGCACAUUGCGCCCGCCAGUACUCUGGCGGGCAUGCCUGUUCGAGCGUCAUUUCAACCCUCAGGGCCCCCCCCCUUCACCGCGGGGGGGAAACGCGCCCCUGGUGUUGGGGACCGGCAGUCAACGGCGCGGGAGGGGGGGCUUCUCGCCCCCCAGCCCAGCCCGACGCCGCCCCCGAAAUGAAUUGGCGGUCACGUCGCGGCCUCCUCUGCGUAGUAGCACAACCUCGCAACGGGAGCGCGGCGCGGCCACUGCCGUAAAGACGCGCCAACGCAACUUCUCAAGAGUUGACCUCGAAUCAGGUAGGAAUACCCGCUGAACUUAA
rnacentral:misc_RNA from 1 species